rnacentral:rRNA from 1 species
GAUGAACGCUGGCUACAGGCUUAACACAUGCAAGUCGAGGGGAAACGACGGGGAAGCUUGCUUCCCCGGGCGUCGAUCGGCGCACGGGUGAGUAACGCGUAUCCAACCUGCCUCUGACUGAGGGAUAACCCGUCGAAAGUCGGCCUAAUACCUCAUGGCAUCGUCUGCGGGCAUCCAACGACGAUUAAAGAUUUCAUCGGUCAGAGAUGGGGAUGCGUCUGAUUAGCUUGUUGGCGGGGUAACGGCCCACCAAGGCGACGAUCAGUAGGGGUUCUGAGAGGAAGGUCCCCCACAUUGGAACUGAGACACGGUCCAAACUCCUACGGGAGGCAGCAGUGAGGAAUAUUGGUCAAUGGGCGAGAGCCUGAACCAGCCAAGUAGCGUGCAGGAUGACGGCCCUAUGGGUUGUAAACUGCUUUUAUGCGGGGAUAAAGUGAGGGACGUGUCCUUCAUUGCAGGUACCGCAUGAAUAAGGACCGGCUAAUUCCGUG